GGAAGAAACAGGGGCAGGAAGCGAAACAGAGGGGACAGAAGAGACGGAGACGGGAGAAGACACAGGCACGGGAGGGGAGACAGAGAGGGAGAAGGGAAAGAAAUUCAAAAAGAAAAGGAGACAACAUAGGGGUAAAGGGAAGCAGGGACGAGGUGGACUGAGAGGAGCAGGAAGAGGAGGUGGCCAAAAAA